rnacentral:rRNA from 1 species
CCUACGGGGGGCAGCAGUGGGGACUAUUGCACAAUGGGGGAAACCCUGAUGCAGCGACGCCGCGUGAGUGAAGAAGUAUUUCGGUACGUAAAGCUCUAUCAGCAGGGAAGAAAACCCGGCCUUAGGGCCGCCAGACGGUACCUGACUAAGAAGCCCCGGCUAACUACGUGCCAGCAGCCGCGGUAAUACGUAGGGGGCAAGCGUUAUCCGGAUUUACUGGGUGUAAAGGGAGAGUAGACGGCAAGGUAAGCCAGAAGGGAAAGCCCGCGGCUCACCUGCGGGACUGCUUUUGGAACUAUCUAGCUAGAUGGCAGGAGAGGUAAGUGGAAUUCCUAGUGUAGCGGUGAAAUGCGUAGAUAUUAGGAGGAACACCAGUGGCGAAGGCGGCUUAAGGGACUGUAAAUGACGCUGAGGCUCGAAAGCGUGGGGAGCAAACAGGAUUAGAUACCCUGGUAGUC